rnacentral:rRNA from 1 species
CUAAAUACUACCCAGUGACCGAUAGCGUAUAGUACUGUGAAGGAAAGGUGAAAAGCACCCCGGGAGGGGAGUGAAAAAGAACCUGAAACCCUGUGCCUACAAGCACCUAGAGCACGUCAAUGUGUGAUAGGGUACUUUUUGUAGAACGGUCCGGCGAGCGAUUGUAUGCAGCAAGGUUAAGGACUUAAGGUCUGGAGCCGAAGCGAAAGCGAGUUUGAAAAGGGCGUUAAGUUGCAUAUAAUGGGCCCGAAACCGGGUGACCUACCCAUGGUCAGGUUGAAGUGGAAGUAAAAUUCCAUGGAGGACCGAACCGACCUCCGUUGAAAAGGCGGCGGAUGAACUGUGGGUAGCGGAGAAAUUCCAAUCGAACCCGGAGAUAGCUGGUUCUCCCCGAAAUAGUUUUAGGACUAGCCUCAAGUUAGAUACCUGGAGGUAAAGCACUGAAUAGCCUAGCGGCCGAGAGGUUAGCGAAGCUUAUCAAACUCAGAAUGCCAGAGUAUUGAUGCUUGGGAGUCAGACAGUGUCAGAUAAAUGUCAUUGUCAAAAGGGAAACAGCCCAGAUCUACAGCUAAGGUCCCAAAGUCAGGUUAAGUGGAAAACGAUGUGAAGAUACGCAGACAACCAGGAUGUUGGCUCAGAAGCAGCCACUCAUUCAAAGAGUGCGUAAUAGCUCACUGGUCGAGCGUCUUUGCGCGGAGAAUUUAACGGGGCUAAACCUGACACCGAAGCUUAGGCAAUGUAGUAAUACAUUGGGUAGGGGAGCGUUGUAUACGCGGUGAAACAGUAGCGCAAGCGGCUGUGGAGUGUAUAGAAGUGAGAAUGCCGGAAUGAGUAGCGCGAAUGCAGUGAGAAUCUGCAUGGCCGAAAGCCUCAGGUUUUUGGAGGAAGGUUCGUCCGCUCCAAGUUAGUCGGGAGCUAAGGUGAGGCCGAAAGGCGUAGCCGAUGCACAGACGGUAGAGAUUCCGUCACCACCAAAAGAGUUAAGCACAGGGACACAUUUGAAGUCUCAGAGCCGGGUGUUGGUUCCGGUAGAGAUCGAGGGAAAUUAGUACCGAAGUCUGAGAUGGAAGAUGGCGAGAAAAGCUGUGUGUAUUUCUGAGGUGCCCGUACCGCAAACCGACACAGGUAGGUAGGAAGAAGAUUCUAAGGCCAACGGGAGAAGGGUUGUUAAGGAACUCGGCAAAUUGACCCCGUAACUUCGGGAGAAGGGGUGCUCCAGAGAUGGAGCCGCAGAGAAUCGGCCCAAGCAACUGUUUACCAAAAACACAGGUUUGUGCUAAAUCGAAAGAUGACGUAUACGAGCUGACGCCUGCCCGGUGCUGGAAGGUUAAGAGGAGAUGUGCAAGCAUUGAAUCGAAGCCCCAGUGAACGGCGGCCGUAACUAUAACGGUCCUAAGGUAGCGAAAUUCCUUGUCAGGUAAG